rnacentral:rRNA from 1 species
CCUACGGGAGGCUGCAGUGAGGAAUAUUGGUCAAUGGCCGGAAGUCUGAACCAGCCAAGUCGCGUGAGGGAAGAAGGCGCAAAGCGUCGCAGACCUCUUUUGCCGGGGGACAAAAGGCCGGACUCGUCCGGUCCUGAGGGUACCCGGUGAAAAAGCAUCGGCUAACUCCGUGCCAGCAGCCGCGGUAAUACGGGGGAUGCGAGCGUUAUCCGGGUUCAUUGGGUUUAAAGGGUGCGCAGGCGGGCCUUUCAGGCGGCGGUGAAAUCGCGGGGCUCAAACCCGCCGAGCCGUCGGCACUGGGGGCCUUGAGUGCGGGAGAGGAAGGCGGAAUGCGUGGUGUAGCGGUGAAAUGCAUAGAUAUCGCGCAGAACCCCGAUUGCGAAGGCAGCGUGCCGUGCCGCAACUGACGCUGAGGCACGAAAGCGCGGGGAUCGAACAGGAUUAGAUACCCCUGUAGUC